GAUGAACGCUAGCGGCAGGCUUAAUACAUGCAAGUCGAGGGGCAGCAGGUCUGUAGCAAUACAGAUGCUGGCGACCGGCAAACGGGUGCGGAACACGUACAGAACCUUCCUUCGAGCGGGGAAUAGCCCAGAGAAAUUUGGAUUAAUACCCCAUAGUACAUUGAAGAGGCAUCUCUUUAAUAUUAAAGAUUUAUCACUUGAAGAUGGCUGUGCGGCUGAUUAGGUAGUUGGCGGGGUAACGGCCCACCAAGCCUACGAUCAGUAACUGGUGUGAGGGCACGACCAGUCACACGGGCACUGAGACACGGGCCCGACUCCUACGGGAGGCAGCAGUAAGGAAUAUUGGUCAAUGGACGCAAGUCUGAACCAGCCAUGCCGCGUGGAGGAUGAA
rnacentral:rRNA from 1 species